rnacentral:rRNA from 1 species
CGGACGGGUGAGUAAUGUAUAGGAACUUGCCUAAUAGUGGGGGACAACGUGUGGAAACGCACGCUAAUACCGCAUACGCUCUACGGAGGAAAGCGGGGGAUCUUCGGACCACGUGCUAUUAGAUAGGCCUAUAUUGGAUUAGCUAGUUGGUAAGGUAAAGGCUUACCAAGGCGACGAUCCAUAGCUGGUUUGUGAGAAUGAUCAGCCACACUGGGACUGAGACACGGCCCAG